AAUCCAUAGGUUAAUGAGGCGAACCGGGGGAACUGAAACAUCUAAGUACCCCGAGGAAAAGAAAUCAACCGAGAUUCCCCCAGUAGCGGCGAGCGAACGGGGAGGAGCCCAGAGCCUGAAUCAGCAUGUGUGUUAGUGGAAGCGUCUGGAAAGGCGCGCGAUACAGGGUGACAGCCCCGUACACAAAAGCGCAUGUGCUGUGAGCUCGAUGAGUAGGGCGGGACACGUGGUAUCCUGUCUGAAUAUGGGGGGACCAUCCUCCAAGGCUAAAUACUCCUGACUGACCGAUAGUGAACCAGUACCGUGAGGGAAAGGCGAAAAGAACCCCGGCGAGGGGAGUGAAAAAGAACCUGAAACCGUGUACGUACAAGCAGUGGGAGCCCCACCACCAAAGCAUUCUCUGGUGUUGAAGGCCCUGCAAAGCAGCAUCGCGGUGGCGGAGCGUCGUUUGCGACGCCCAACACACAAAACAAGCGGUGAGUGCUUUGGGGUGGGGUGACUGCGUACCUUUUGUAUAAUGGGUCAGCGACUUAUAUUCUGUAGCAAGGUUAACCGUAUAGGGGAGCCGUAGGGAAACCGAGUCUUAACCGGGCGUUAAGUUGCAGGGUAUAGACCCGAAACCCGGUGAUCUAGCCAUGGGCAGGUUGAAGGUUGGGUAACACUAACUGGAGGACCGAACCGACUAAUGUUGAAAAAUUAGCGGAUGACCUGUGGCUGGGGGUGAAAGGCCAAUCAAACCGGGAGAUAGCUGGUUCUCCCCGAAAGCUAUUUAGGUAGCGCCUCGUGAAUUCAUCUCCGGGGGUAGAGCACUGUUUCGGCUAGGGGGCCAUCCCGGCUUACCAACCCGAUGCAAACUGCGAAUACCGGAGAAUGUUAUCACGGGAGACACACGGCGGGUGCUAACGUCCGUCGUGAAGAGGGAAACAACCCAGACCGCCAGCUAAGGUCCCAAAGUCAUGGUUAAGUGGGAAACGAUGUGGGAAGGCCCAGACAGCCAGGAUGUUGGCUUAGAAGCAGCCAUCAUUUAAAGAAAGCGUAAUAGCUCACUGGUCGAGUCGGCCUGCGCGGAAGAUGUAACGGGGCUAAACCAUGCACCGAAGCUGCGGCAGCGACACUCAGGUGUUGUUGGGUAGGGGAGCGUUCUGUAAGCCUGUGAAGGUGGCCUGUGAGGGUUGCUGGAGGUAUCAGAAGUGCGAAUGCUGACAUAAGUAACGAUAAAGCGGGUGAAAAGCCCGCUCGCCGGAAGACCAAGGGUUCCUGUCCAACGUUAAUCGGGGCAGGGUGAGUCGACCCCUAAGGCGAGGCCGAAAGGCGUAGUCGAUGGGAAACGGGUUAAUAUUCCCGUACUUGGUGUUACUGCGAAGGGGGGACGGAGAAGGCUAUGUUGGCCGGGCGACGGUUGUCCCGGUUUAAGCGUGUAGGUGUGUGUUCCAGGUAAAUCCGGUUCACUUUAACACUGAGGCGUGACGACGAGGCACUACGGUGCUGAAGCAACAAAUGCCCUGCUUCCAGGAAAAGCCUCUAAGCAUCAGGUAACAUCAAAUCGUACCCCAAACCGACACAGGUGGUCAGGUAGAGAAUACCAAGGCGCUUGAGAGAACUCGGGUGAAGGAACUAGGCAAAAUGGUGCCGUAACUUCGGGAGAAGGCACGCUGACACGUAGGUGAAGUGAUUUACUCAUGGAGCUGAAGUCAGUCGAAGAUACCAGCUGGCUGCAACUGUUUAUUAAAAACACAGCACUGUGCAAACACGAAAGUGGACGUAUACGGUGUGACGCCUGCCCGGUGCCGGAAGGUUAAUUGAUGGGGUCAGCGCAAGCGAAGCUCCUGAUCGAAGCCCCGGUAAACGGCGGCCGUAACUAUAACGGUCCUAAGGUAGCGAAAUUCCUUGUCGGGUAAGUUCCGACCUGCACGAAUGGCGUAAUGAUGGCCAGGCUGUCUCCACCCGAGACUCAGUGAAAUUGAACUCGCUGUGAAGAUGCAGUGUACCCGCGGCAAGACGGAAAGACCCCGUGAACCUUUACUAUAGCUUGACACUGAACAUUGAGCCUUGAUGUGUAG
rnacentral:rRNA from 1 species